rnacentral:rRNA from 1 species
UACAGAGGUCCCAAGCGUUGUUCGGAUUCACUGGGCGUAAAGGGUGCGUAGGUGGCGGGGUAAGUCUGAUGUGAAAUCUCCAAGCUCAACUUGGAAAUGGCAUUGGAAACUACCUUGCUUGAGGAUUGGAGGGGAGACUGGAAUUCUUGGUGUAGCAGUGAAAUGCGUAGAUAUCAAGAGGAACACCAGUGGCGAAGGCGGGUCUCUGGGCCGAUACUGACGCUGAGGAGCGAAAGCGUGGGGAGCGAACAGG